rnacentral:rRNA from 1 species
AUUGAACGCUGGCGGCAGGCUUAACACAUGCAAGUCGAGCGGAGAUGAGGUGCCUUCACCUUAUCGUAGCGGCGGACGGGUGAGAAAUGCUUAGCAAUCUGCCUAUUAGUGGGGGACAACAUUCCGCAAGGAAUGAUAAUACCGCAUACGCCCUACGGGGGAAAGACGAGGAUCUUCUGACCUUGCGAUAACAGAUGAGCCUAAGUCGGAUUAGCUAGUUGGUGGGGUAAAGGCCCACCAAGGCGACGAUCUGUAGCGGGUCUGAGAGGUAUGAUCCGCCAAGCUGGGACUGGGGCACGGGCCAGACUCCUACGGGAGGCAGCAGUGGGGAAUAUUGGACAAUGGGCGGAAGCCUGAUCCAGCCAUGCCGCGUGUGUGAAGAAGGCCUUUUGGUUGUAAAGCACUUUAAGCGAGGAGGAGGCUACCUGGAUUAAUACUCUAGGAUAGUGGACGUUACUCGCAGAAUAAGCACCGGCUAACUCUGUGCCAGCAGCCGCAGUAAUAC